UAUAAAUGGCGGGAGCCUUGCCUGGGUCGAAACUUCACGCACCCAAUCAUCUCUUUCUAUUUGGCGUCAAAAUCUCACUGUUUAUCACAAUAAAAAAUUUCUCCAAAACCCUCCGAUCCUUAAAACCCAAACUUCCCCUAUUUUUGUUCUUCACCUCUUUCUCUUUUAUUAUUUCCCCUCCUUUCGUCUAAAUUUCUUCAAUUCUAGGGUUUGUUAGUCUCUUUAUUGGAAAACCCUAGUUUUUUUUCCCUUUUGGGUUUGCUUUUUGCAGAUAGAGAAAGUGGGAGAGUUGGAGCAGUGUGGUACAUUCUAAUUCAAUGGAGGCCGCGGCCAGUGUCGCCGCCGCACGGAGUGGUUCGCUGCUGAUGCCAUCACCGUCGCGGAAGGAGUGGCGUGCCGUUUCUGACCAUCACGUGGUUCGGAGCCCCGGGGAUGAAGAGGAAUUGGACAAAUCAAAGUUGGGACAAUCAGAUGAGAGAACCAUAUAUGAGGUGCAGCAUGGGAGAGAACCUGAUGAUGUUGACUUCUGUUCAAUCACGGUUGAUGGGAGUUUAGAUGAGGACAUAUUGCAGCAGCAGAUCCACAAUGUUACUAGACAGAGAGAGGAGCUCCAACAGAUGGAGGUUGAACUCCGAGCUCAGGCAAUUGCAAGAGCAAGGAUCCUGGAGAUACAGAAUAGCUGUGAUGCUAAAAUCAAAGCCCAUGCCAGUGCUGCUGCCAAGCUUGAGGAGCGACUCUGUGAAAGUGAACAGACCAUACAUGAAUUGGAAAGGAAAAUGGAAGAGAAAGAUAGAGAGCUUCAUGCCAUCAAAGUUGAAAAAGAAGAGGCCUGGGCGAAGGAAGACCUUCUCAGAGAGCAAAAUAAGGAACUGGCAACUUUCAGAAGAGAACGUGAUCAUUCAGAAGCUGAGAGAGCCCAACAUCUAAAACAGAUAUGUGAUCUUCAGGAGCAUGCUCAAGAGAAAGAGAGGCAGCUUAUUGAGUUGCAGGAACAGUAUAGGGCUGCUCAGGAAACCAUUCUUUAUAGGGAUGAACAGUUGAGAGAGGCCCAAACUUGGAUUUCACGUGUCCAAGAGAUGGAUGCUUUGCAGUCAAGUACAAACCACUCCUUACAGGCUGAAUUGCGAGAUCGUAUAGAACAAUAUAACCAGCUAUGGCAUGGCUGUCAGAGACAGUUUGCAGAGAUGGAGAGACUUCAUUUACAUACGAUACAUCAGCUUCAACUUGAGCUGGCUGAUGCAAGAGAGAGGAAUGGUUCUUAUACUGAUGAAUCACAUAUAUCCCAAGCAAAUUCAAAAGAUUUAUCUCAAUUUGGUCCAAAUAAAGGAAACCAAGUGGAUUCUAAUGGAAGUAGUGCAAAAAAUGCUGAUACUGGGGUCAUUUCGAAUGGGGCUUCAGACAAUGUUCAAUCAUUUGCUUCAGCUGUCUGUGCACCAACUCUGAUUCAGAAUGACCAUGUUUCGAGUGUUCCAAUUACUCCACUUGGGAUGCCUACAUACCUCCCACCUGGGCAGGUGACUGCUCUGCAUUCGUUUGUCAUGCAUCAACAGGGGGUUCCCCAUUCUGUGGCAUCUCAUGUUGGACACUAUUCAAUGCCAGCGAUGUCAUCCAUCCUGUGGCAGAACCAACAGACUUCAUCAGAGGGUUUCCAACUAUCUGCACAGAAUCAACCUCCACAAUCCCAAACUGAGCAAAGCCUUGGGAGGUCUGAUGUAAAGUAUGAAUAUGAAAUGUCUGUCAAUGGACAAACCAUUCCUCCAGACUAUCUGGAUCAUAUAAGCCAAGGGCCAGAGCCCAAUUCUGUGAUUUCAUUAUCUGCUGGGAAAGCACAGGUCCUUGAGUCAAUUAAUGCUAGUUACCUCGUGGACCCUCAACCUGAGCCAAGCUUGCAGCAGGUUUCUUCACAAUUUCUUGAUGCAUUGAGAUUGGGCUCUCUUGAACAGAGCUGUGAAUCCAAGGAACAGAAUAUUCUGAACAUGAAUAAUCAUGUGUUGGAGGACCAAGUUCUAACAACAGAAGAAGCUAGUGCUGCUGCCUGCCCAUCUCCUCCUGAUUCUUUGGUCCAUUCUAUUAAUUUCAGUGAAACAACAAUCAGCAAUGGCACUGGUGCUAUUUUGCAGGAAAAGUUGGUCUCAAUGGGGCAGACCAAUAUAUUGAUAUCAGCUAAGACUUCAGAAACUGCUCUGCUUGAUGAAAGAUCAUUGUUGGCUUGCAUUGUUCGCACUAUUCCAACUGGUGGCAGAAUUCGGAUCAGUUCAACGCUACCAAAUAGGCUGGGGAAAAUGCUUGCACCGUUACAUUGGCAUGAUUACAAGAAAAAGUAUGGAAAGCUUGAUGAGUUUGUAGCCAAUCACCCUGAGUUAUUUGUGAUUGAGGGUGAUUAUAUUCAGCUUCAAGAGGGAGCGCAAGAGAAGAUAGCAGCCACAGCUGCUGUUGCUAAAGUCGCUGCAGCCGCCGCAGCCUUGUCUUCUUACUCCUCAUUUUUGCCUUCUGUUGCUGUUACUCCAAUGGCGCAGGCUAAUAGACCAAAGAAGGUCCCCCCAUCAAUUGAUUCCAACCAUGUGAAGAAUGAGAAUACCGUUUUCAAGGAGCCUGCAACCAUCUCUAAAAAUGCAGCUGAUGAUCAUUCACAGCUGUUAGGAAUGCAGAAUCAACAUCCCAAUGGCAUUUGUUUUGGUGUGGCUGGAGGUCUCUCUAAUGUAAAAAUAUUGAGCAAAUCUAAAGAUCCUACUGAAAUUAAUGGAGCAAAUUUUGAGAGAUCUAGUGUGACAAGUGUUGAAAGCAAGGCCUCUGGUAAUGGAAGGUCUAAUUCAAAUUUUGUUGGAAAACAGCCGGGCAGGGCAACUGGGGCAGCAUUAUCUUCUAGAAGAUAGUGAGUGCAUUUUCCUCGAUUGUGAGAUAUUCGGUGCAGGAUUAUUAAGAGGUUUAUAACAAUUAACUCAACCUUGAUAACCUGAUGGACAUGCUGAAUUGCAAUGUUAAGUUGUGGAACAUGCAUUAUGCAGAUUGCAAGCAUCUCGGGAUAUGAUUUGUAGUUAAAUGUAUCUCCUGAUCUUGUUCAUCAGCCAUCUUUUACAUUAGACAAAGUUCUCUGAUUGGAUCAUAAGCUGACUACUUAAAUUUUCUUGCACCUUUUGGCCCUGUCUCUUGGAAAAAACACUAAUUAUUUUAUUGCGUGUUCUUGUCAUACUCAAGCUGCAUAUAUUAUUUUCUGCAUCAUUAUCCAACCAUCCUUGCACCCAUUUACAACUGUGCAUCUGUCAGUUCAUACUCAUUUCAGUUUUUCAAUUCUUAAGUAAUUAAAGCAACGGUGAGUCGGGUCAAAAUGUCAGCCACCUGCUUGGUUUGCCAAUUUCUGGCGGAAAUUACAAUAGAAUGCAGUCAGCAUAAUUGCAUACAAUUUGGGUUGUCAUUUCGAAAACAAAAGCGCUAGCACUGCAUAUUAAAACUUAAACGAUACUUGACCAGAAUUUUUUUCUACAAAAAAAACCAUAUCCUAAUGAUAAAAAAAUGAGUUAUAGAUAUUAAAGUGUAAAUUCUGAAGGAAAUUUUUAGUAUGGGGUAAUCAUUUUAAAAUCAAUGGUAAUAAAAAAUCAUGGUGAUUGAUACAUGGUCAUUAGAUCAUUAUGUUUGUUAAGCAUUUGGUGAAUUUA